rnacentral:rRNA from 1 species
UACGUAGGGUGCGAGCGUUGUCCGGAAUUAUUGGGCGUAAAGAGCUCGUAGGCGGUUUGUCGCGUCUGCUGUGAAAACCCGAGGCUCAACCUCGGGCCUGCAGUGGGUACGGGCAGACUAGAGUGCGGUAGGGGAGAACGGAAUUCCUGGUGUAGCGGUGAAAUGCGCAGAUAUCAGGAGGAACACCGGUGGCGAAGGCGGUUCUCUGGGCAUUACCUGACGCUGAGGAGCGAAAGUGUGGGGAGCGAACAGG